ACAUACAUGUUAGUAUUGAAUCACAUUCAUGUCACGUUCAAUUGCGGAGAGGACGUUGUUGCUGUGCCUGUAGCUAUGUAUUACAGAGUCACGCGGUUUCCUUGUUUUAACGAGGGUUUUGGUUCAACUGUUUGGCAGUAUUUUCGAGGGCAAGAUCAGGACUUGCAUGUUGCAGCUUCUGUUGCUGAGCUGAGCUGAGUUGAUUGCUGGUAGUUUCUUGGUGUCUCCCUUUUCCCCUUCACUUCCUUCUCCACUGUAGUUGAGAGCUUCAGUGGUUUAUUGCUGAAGACUUUGGGGUUUUUUCCCGUUUCUGCGUGCAUGAAUCACCGAGAAUCAACGGUUUAUGAAUUAAAGCACCGGUUACGCUAA